rnacentral:rRNA from 1 species
UACGGAGGGUGCAAACGUUGCUCGGAAUCAUUGGGCGUAAAGCGCGCGUAGGCGGCGAAGCAAGUUGGAUGUGAAAGCCCUGGGCUCAACCUAGGAUGUGCAUACAAAACUGCUUCGCUUGAAUCUCGGAGGGGGUCAGGGAAUUCCCGGUGUAGCGGUGGAAUGCGUAGAGAUCGGGAAGAACAUCAGUGGCGAAGGCGGCCUGCUGGGCUGUUGCUGACGCUGAGGCGCGACAGCGUGGGGAGCAAACAGG